AAAGGGAGACCUAAUUCAGGUAUAAGACGAAAAAAAAGUAGUCCCUACCAAGAAUCAAUCCCAAAAGGUCGGAACGAGGUAUGAGGCUUUCAAACUAGGUUCUGGGUUCAUAAAAGACCUGAAUCAGGAACAAGGGCUAUUAGCUCAGGUGGUUAGAGCGCACCCCUGAUAAGGGUGAGGUCCCUGGUUCGAGUCCAGGAUGGCCCACCUGCACAGGUGGCAAAAACAAGAGAAGCGAGGAAUCGGCACCUUAUCUUAUAUACAUAUAUAAGAGAGAAUGCUGGCUCUGAGUACAGAGUCCAGAGGAACCUUGAAAACUGCAUAGAGCUAGGUGAAAAAGCCAAAAAAGAAGACCGCAAG
rnacentral:tRNA from 1 species